rnacentral:rRNA from 1 species
ACUUGCAGUGGGUACGGGCAGACUAGAGUGUGGUAGGGGAGACUGGGAUUCCUGGUGUAGCGGUGGAAUGCGCAGAUAUCAGGAGGAACACCGAUGGCGAAGGCAGGUCUCUGGGCCAUUACUGACACUGAGAAGCGAAAGCAUGGGGAGCGAACAGGAUUAGAUACCCUGGUAGUCCAUGCCGUAAACGUUGGGAACUAGGUGUGGGUCGCAUUCCACGUGAUCCGUGCCGCAGCUAACGCAUUAAGUUCCCCGCCUGGGGAGUACGGCCGCAAGGCUAAAACUCAAAGGAAUUGACGGGGGCCCGCACAAGCGGCGGAGCAUGCGGAUUAAUUCGAUGCAACGCGAAGAACCUUACCAAGGCUUGACAUACGCCGGAAUCACUCAGAGAUGGGUGCGUCUUCGGACUGGUGUACAGGUGGUGCAUGGUUGUCGUCAGCUCGUGUCGUGAGAUGUUGGGUUAAGUCCCGCAACGAGCGCAACCCUCGUUCUAUGUUGCCAGCACGUGAUGGUGGGGACUCAUAGGAGACUGCCGGGGUCAACUCGGAGGAAGGUGGGGAUGACGUCAAAUCAUCAUGCCCCUUAUGUCUUGGGCUCCACGCAUGCUACAAUGGCCGGUACAAAGGGCUGCGAUACCGCGAGGUGGAGCGAAUCCCAAAAAACCGGUCUCAGUUCGGAUUGGGGUCUGCAACUCGACCCCAUGAAGUCGGAGUCGCUAGUAAUCGCAGAUCAGCAACGCUGCGGUGAAUACGUUCCCGGGCCUUGUACACACCGCCCGUCAAGUCACGAAAGUCGGUAACACCCGAAGCCGGUGGCCCAACUGCCUUGUGCAGGGGGAGCCGUCGAAGGUGGGACUGGCGAUUGGGACUAAGUCGUAACAAGGUACCAAUCCCGCGGCCAUGCGGCC